rnacentral:rRNA from 1 species
UACGGGGGGGGCAAGCGUUGUUCGGAAUUACUGGGCGUAAAGGGCUCGUAGGUGGCCAACUAAGUCAGACGUGAAAUCCCUCGGCUUAACCGGGGAACUGCGUCUGAUACUGGAUGGCUUGAGUUUGGGAGAGGGAUGCGGAAUUCCAGGUGUAGCGGUGAAAUGCGUAGAUAUCGGGAGGAACACCAGUGGCGAAGGCGGUUGCCUGGGGCUUUGCUGACGCUGAGGCGCGAAAGCGUGGGGAGCGAUCCGG